UACGUAGGGGGCAAGCGUUGUCCGGAAUCAUUGGGCGUAAAGCGCGUGUAGGCGGUCCGGUAAGUCCGCUGUGAAAGUCGGGGGCUCAACCCUCGGAUGCCGGUGGAUACUGUCGGGCUUGAGUACGGAAGAGGCGAGUGGAAUUCCUGGUGUAGCGGUGAAAUGCGUAGAUAUCUGGAGGAACACCGGUGGCGAAGGCGGCAUCCUGGACCGGUAUUGACGCUGAGGCGCGAAAGCCAGGGGAGCAAACGGG
rnacentral:rRNA from 1 species